rnacentral:rRNA from 1 species
UACGUAGGGUGCGAGCGUUAAUCGGAAUUACUGGGCGUAAAGCGUGCGCAGGCGGUUCGUCGUGUCUGAUGUGAAAGCCCCGGGCUCAACCUGGGAAUGGCAUUGGAAACUGGCGGACUAGAGUAUGGCAGAGGGGGGUGGAAUUCCGCGUGUAGCAGUGAAAUGCGCAGAUAUCGGGAGGAACACCGGUGGCGAAGGCGGUUCUCUGGGCCUGUACUGACGCUGAGGAGCGAAAGCGUGGGGAGCGAACAGG